UUUCCGUAGGUGAACCUGCGGAAGGAUCAUUAACGAGUUAGGAUUUUUUAGGCCCGACCUACCAACCCUCUAUUUAUUGAACCUCUGUUGCCUCGGCGGACCCGUCGCACGUCCGCCGGAGGACCGCUGCGAGGCGUCCCCCGCCCAGCGUCCGUCGAUGGCCAACCCACAAAACUAUAUAUGAAACGUGACAUAUGUCUAAGUCUAUGAUUAAAUUAAAGCAAAACUUUCAACAACGGAUCUCUUGGUUCUG
rnacentral:misc_RNA from 1 species